AAUAGGGUAAGCUAAACAAGCUAUUGGGCUCAUAACCCAAAAAUAGAUAAAACUCUUCCUAUUA
rnacentral:tRNA from 1 species